GAUGAACGCUAGCUACAGGCUUAACACACGCAAGUCGAGGGGAAACGAUAUUGGAAGCUUGCUUCCGAUAGGCGUCGACCGGCGCACGGGUGAGUAACGCGUAUCCAACCUGCCCAUCACUUGGGGAUAACCUUGCGAAAGUAAGACUAAUACCCAAUGAUAUCUCUAGAAGACAUCUGAAAGAGAUUAAAGAUUUAUCGGUGAUGGAUGGGGAUGCGUCUGAUUAGCUUGUUGGCAGGGUAACGGCCCACCAAGGCGACGAUCAGUAGGGGUUCUGAGAGGAAGGUCCCCCACAUUGGAACUGAGACACGGUCCAAACUCCUACGGGAGGCAGCAGUGAGGAAUAUUGGUCAAUGGGCGAGAGCCUGAACCAGCCAAGUAGCGUGCAGGAAGACGGCCCUAUGGGUUGUAAACUGCUUUUAUAAGGGAAUAAAGUGAGUCUCGUGAGACUUUUUGCAUGUACCUUAUGAAUAAGGACCGGCUAAUUCCGUGCCAGCCGCCGCCGUAA
rnacentral:rRNA from 1 species